AUGAACAAUGAGCUUCUGAAACCAUACUCUGCGGAGGAGGUGAAAAAGGCUUUAUUCUCUAUAGGUGACACAAAAGCACCAGGUACGCAUGGAUUGCAUGCCGUGUUCUUUAAAAAAUGUUGGCACGUUUUUGGAGAUUUACUUACAAGUGAAGUGUUGAGCGCAAUAAAUAAUAAAGUUAUUCCUGAUGGUUGGAAUGAUACUGUGAUAGUUCUAAUACCUAAAGUGGAUUCCCCAGAAAAUAUAUCACAGUACAGGUCUAUCAGUUUAUGCAAUGUCUUGUAUAAAAUCAUCUUUAAAAUGAUAGUUCGUUUAAAGGCUAUUUUGGAUGAAGUAAUAUCUCCUGUCCAUAGUGCUUUUGUACCUGGGAGAUCAAUCUCUGACAACAUUCGCAUUGCCUAUGAAAGUAUGCAUACUAUUAAAAGCAAGAAGAAGGGCAAGAUAGGAUAUUGUGCAGUAAAGCUUGAUAUGCACAAGGCAUAUGACCGCGUUGAAUGGAUCUUUUUGGAAAGAAUGUUGAGUAGGCUCGGCUUUCAUGGUGAUUUUAUUGACUUGUUGAUGGCAUGUGUCAGUUCAGUUAAAUACAGAGUUAGAUUUAAUGAUCAAGAGACAGAUAUGUUUGUGCCAAGCAGGGGCCUCCGUCAAGGGGACCCGUUAUCACCUUAUUUGUUUCUCUUAUGUGCAGAAGGGCUUUCAAGUGCUCUAGCUCAACAAGAGGAGGUUCGUGGCAUAGAGGGUGUUCGGGUGUGCAGAAAUGCACCAUCAGUAUCUCAUUUACUAUUCGCUGAUGAUUCCCUUAUACAUAUGAAGGCAUAUAUGAUUAAUGCAACCUCGUUGAGAUCGGUGCUUGAUGCUUCGUGUGCUAAUUCAGGCCAGCUUAUUAGUGAAGCCAAAUGCAGUAUUUUUUUCAGUCCAAAUGUUGAUGUGGAAAUAAAAGCCCAUAUGUGUACUGAACUCAAUAUCCACAUUGAAGCAAUUUCUGAAAAGUACCUGGGCCUACCCUCUAUGGUGGGGCUGGAUAAAAGUGAUAGUUUUGUUUAUUUGCUUGGAAGGAUCAUCGAAAGAUUGAAGGGAUGGAAGGAGAAGCUACUUUCCACAGGGGCGAAAGAAAUUCUCUUGAAGGCAGUAAUUCAGUCCAUUCCAGUGUUUGCCAUGGUUGUUUUUAAUAUCCCCAAAACAUUAUGCAAAGAGAUGAAUGAUGCUAUGUCUGCCUUUUGGUGGGGAGAUUCCAAGGAUCAAAAGAAGAUGCACUGGUUUUCUUGGUGGAGAAUAUGUGUUCCAAAAAAGUUGGGCGGCAUGGGAUUUCGAGAUCUAUUUUCGUUUAACAUGGCUAUGCUCUCAAAACAGACAUGGAGAUUGCUAAAUAAUCCUGACUCACUUUGUGCUCAAGUUUUGAGAGUGAAAUAUUAUCCUGAUGGGAAAUUACUUAAUGCAGGUCCAAGAAAAGGCUCUUCUUAG
rnacentral:rRNA from 1 species